rnacentral:lncRNA from 1 species
CAAGAUCGAGCAACACAUUGCUGGAAUGAAACACUCUAAAUGGAAUCUGAUUCUGCAGACUAUGAAUCACUAUCCCUUAUGCGAUUCUUCACAAUCGUAACAAUGUCUUUGUCUGUAAUAGAAAAAUAGUUUUUAACAACCAUAGUUGUAGAGCUUACCAUUUUGAUUGUAAUUUGAGAACUGUUCUAGAGUACACAUGAACAGCUGAUGUAAACUGCU